AGAGGACUGAAAAUCCUCGUGUCACCA
rnacentral:tRNA from 1 species